rnacentral:rRNA from 1 species
GACGAACGCUGGCGGCGUGCUUAACACAUGCAAGUCGAACGGAAAGGCCCUGCUUUUGUGGGGUGCUCGAGUGGCGAACGGGUGAGUAACACGUGAGUAACCUGCCCUUGACUUUGGGAUAACUUCAGGAAACUGGGGCUAAUACCGGAUAGGAGCUCCUGCUGCAUGGUGGGGGUUGGAAAGUUUCGGCGGUUGGGGAUGGACUCGCGGCUUAUCAGCUUGUUGGUGGGGUAGUGGCUUACCAAGGCUUUGACGGGUAGCCGGCCUGAGAGGGUGACCGGCCACAUUGGGACUGAGAUACGGCCCAGACUCCUACGGGAGGCAGCAGUGGGGAAUAUUGCACAAUGGGCGGAAGCCUGAUGCAGCAACGCCGCGUGCGGGAUGACGGCCUUCGGGUUGUAAACCGCUUUCGCCUGUGACGAAGCGUGAGUGACGGUAAUGGGUAAAGAAGCACCGGCUGACUACGU